rnacentral:rRNA from 1 species
AGAUGCGAUCAUACUAGCAUUAAUGCACCGGAUCCCAUCAGAACUCUAAAGGUAAGCGUUCUUGGGCGAGAGUAGUACUAGGAUGGGUGACCUCCCGGAACGUCCACGUGUUGCAUCCC